UUCUCUUCCAGAGGAAGUGAAAUUUGAGACUACACCCUGACCCUGUUGCUGGAGAGUAGUAUCAAGCCACAAUGUUGAUCCCGGAAGAUCUCCAAGUUCACAGCAGGACCUGCAUCAUGGGCAUGUGACCUGUGCAAUAACACAGAGCCCCACUCUUGGAUAGGCCCCAUGCUUGGUGUAAUGCUCUGCCACUGCCAUCUUGAAAUACCUAAUAUGUUUUGAACAAGAGGUCCCAUAUUUUCAUUUUUCACUGGUGCUGCAAAUUAUGUAGCUGGUCCUUGCUCACAGAGUUGGCAACCUUUACUCCUCAGACCCAGAGAAAUGACUAAAAUUACAAGAGGCCAUGAAGAAAGGAGAAAAGCAUUAUUUCGGAUGAAGAAUGCUCAUUUUACAGAUGAUGAACCAAGCUGCAGAGAGUGGACUUAUUGGGAUGUAACCCAAGCACAAGUGAAGAAGCACCUGCAUUCAAAAUUAUUGCCAGUACCUGUAAACACAUGUAAAUGGACCUCUCACUGGCAAGAUCUAACUAAAAUAUGGCUGGCAAUAAAAACUUGGAAAGGUAAUCUGUGAGGUAUCAGAAACCUACAACACAUAAAAGAAGAACACAGGACAGAAAUCGACGCUGAAGGCAAGGAGAUAAAACUUGGAAGGAAAUUUGAAGAAGUGAAAACAAUUAUGUUGAGGUGACGGUCAUGAGACACAACUUUGCUCUUAGUGUUUGUUUUUCAAUUCUCAUUUCUCAUCUAAGUUGCAUCCUGUUAUAGACAAUGAUGGAUUCUCGCUGUCUCCCAGGCUGGAGUGCAGUGGCGCUAUCUCGGCUCACCGAAAGCUCUGCCUCCCGGGUUCACGCCAUUCUCCUGCCUCAGCCUCCCGAGUAGCUGCGACUACAGGCACCCGCCACCACACCCGGCUAAUUUUUUGUAUUUUUAGUAGAGACGGGGUUUCACCAUGUUAGCCAGGAUGGUCUCGAUCUCCUGACCUCAUGAUCCGCCCACCUCGGCCUCCCAAAGUGCUGGGAUUACAGGCGUGAGCCACUGCGCCCAGCCAAUUUUCAGUUUUAUUGACUAUGUACUUUUGUAAUUAGGUACAUCCAGUCACACUGGAGAAAGACAGUGUAUACAUUUAUAACAAUGGGCCGGGUGCGGCCGGCCCAUUUUAUAUAUAUAUAUAUAUAUAUAUAAAACAAUGUAUAUAUGUGUAUGCAUGCAUGUGUGUAUGCGCUCUAUGUAAUAUAUAUUAUCAUUAAUUGUCAUAGAAAAACAUCUUUAGAAUUAAAAAGAGCUUAGCGAUCAUUUAAAUUGUUCCAAACAUAUAUCUAUCAUGCAUGGAGAACCGGUUUUCUCAAAUGAAAUAUGGCCCAAAACUUAAAAAAAUAAGGUUGAAAAAUAAACAAAGCAAAGUUCCUUUGGCUGAAAGGUAAAAGGAUCAAAGCCCACAAACUUCACCUCGCAGCCACUCACUUUCACUGCAACAGAGCAUUCUCAAGUCACCCCACAAAACCCCUAAUUUUCUAUGGUACACAUUUGACUACUACCAGUCAAUUUUAGUCAUUGUCUUUUGUAAGUUUGAAAAAUGACAUACGAUGAAGUUGCAAAUUAUCUAUAAAUAUUUACCUAGUGAGUGACCAGGUCACCCCACCAGAACUCAAAUUCCCUGAUUUCUAGAAGUUUAUUUUUGUCCAAAUAGAAAGGUCCAUCCCAAUGUUGGCUGAAAAUUAAAAUUCUGGUCUUUGAAAAGAAUUGGGCUAUUUGGAAUUUCUGACAAAAACUAAAGAGAGUCUAAGAUUUUCCUAAACUCAACAAGUCAGUUAAUAUUUUCUCUCAGGCCCAGCACUGCUAUUUUCCCUCCUCCCAGGCCUAUGUGCAGCAAAGGCCAGCCCUCCCUUCUUUUCAGAUUUGCUUUCAACUGCUGCUGUGUUUGCCUAUUCCCUUGGAAUCUCUAUUGGAUACCAAUUUCUUGACCCCUCCUGGGUAAAGAAUCACAUGGCUUUGUGUUUUUUGUAUGUUAAAUAAACUUAGCCAAGAUAACAAUUUUGUGGAAUCUUAGUGACUAUUUGUUUUUCUUUC